ensembl:piRNA 21ur-10465 ncRNA
UAAUUUCUUUGUUGUUUAAAA